rnacentral:rRNA from 1 species
AGAGUUUGAUCAUGGCUCAGGACGAACGCUUGCGGCGUGCCUAAGAAAUGCAAGUCGAACGGAUCAGGCAGCAAUGUCUGGUUAGUGGCGAACGGUCGCGUAACACGUAAGCAACCUGCCUCAAAGUGGGGGACAACAGAUCGAAAGGUCUGCUAAUACCGCAUGUGGACAAUCUUGGGCAUCCUUGGUUGUCUAAAGCCUUGUGCGCUUUGAGAUGGGCUUGCGGCCUAUCAGGUAGUUGGUGGGGUAACGGCCUACCAAGCCGACGACGGGUAGCUGGUCUGAGAGGACGAUCAGCCGGAUUGGGACUGAGAUACGGCCCAGACUCCUACGGGGGGCAGCAAUUAGGAAUCUUGCACAAUGGGGGAAACCCUGAUGCAGCGACGCCGCGUGCGGGACGAAGGCCUUCGGGUCGUAAACCGCUUUUUUAGGGGAAGAAGUAUGUGACGGUACCCUAAGAAUAAGCCCCGGCUAACUACGUGCCAGCAGCCGCGGUAAUACGUAGGGGGCGAGCGUUGUCCGAAGUUACUGGGCGUAAAGCGCGCGCAGGCGGUUUCUUAAGUCUGAUGUGAAAGCCCCCGGCUCAACCGGGGAGGGUCAUUGGAAACUGGGAAACUUGAGUGCAGAAGAGGAGAGUGGAAUUCCACGUGUAGCGGUGAAAUGCGUAGAGAUGUGGAGGAACACCAGUGGCGAAGGCGAC